GCCCAGGGUAAGUCGGGGCCUAAGGCGAGGCCGACAGGCGUAGUCGAUGGAUAACCGGUUGAUAUUCCGGUACCCGCCGUGAAGCGCCAGCGCUGAAUCUCCUGAUGCUAAGCCCGUGAAGCCGCCCCCUGUAGCCUUCGGGUGAGGGGGGAGUGGUGGAGCCGGUGGCCCG
rnacentral:rRNA from 1 species